rnacentral:rRNA from 1 species
UACAGAGGGUGCGAGCGUUAAUCGGAAUUACUGGGCGUAAAGCGCGUGUAGGCGGCUAAGUGUGUCGGGCGUGAAAUCCCACGGCUCAACCGUGGAAGUGCACCCGAAACUACGUAGCUAGAGUCCUGGAGAGGAAGGUGGAAUGCUUGGUGUAGAGGUGAAAUUCGUAGAUAUCAAGCGGAACACCGGUGGCGAAGGCGGCCUUCUGGACAGUGACUGACGCUGAGACGCGAAAGCGUGGGGAGCAAACAGG